GGGAUCUUUGCUGAAGAAGCCAGAUAGGCGAAGACCUGCUUCAUUAGAUCUAAACAAUGCUGUGAUUAACACUUGCCACUCUUCUUCUCCGCGUUUUGGAAUCAUGAAGAAAACCCCUAUUACGACUAGCCGAGUUGGUACAUUUCUGAGUCCAAGAACGCCUAGUUAUCGCCAUUCCAGUGUUGGGGUUCAAAAAGGCUGGAGUUCAGAGCGUGUGCCACUGCAUUCAGCUGGUAAUAGGAGGCAGGUAAAUACUGCAUUGCUGCCUUAUAAUAAUGGAAGGAUAUUACCUUCCAAAUGGGAGGAUGCAGAGAGGUGGAUUUUUAGCCCGGUCUCAGGAGAUAGUUCUGUUAGAACUUCAUU
rnacentral:misc_RNA from 1 species